AUAACUGGUGAUAAUAGAUCACAAAAUCUUAACGAUACUCAAUUUGAUGGUUGGGACUAUAUUUCACUCACCAUUCUAAAUUUAGAUGGAUGUACCAUGAUAGUCCCUCAACUUCAAUUUGCAUUACAAAAAUUCCUAAAUUUCAAUUUAAUACAUAACAGUUUUUGGUACAAAAUGUAUAAAGCAAUUAAUAUAUAAAUUGAAGUUAAAAGAAUUUUGGUGAUACAAAUUAAACUUGAGAGAUGGUCAUUGUACACCUAUCUGAGUUGAGGGACUAUAAGUGGAAUUUAGUUAUAAGUUAACCUGUAAACUGGUGAUAUUAGAUCACAAGGAUUUUAAUAAUACUCAAAUUGAACUUGGGAAUAUUUAUGUUUGAAAUUAAAGUUGAGCAAAAAUGCUAAUACAACUAUUAACUUAAAGGAUGGUAGGUGAAAUUUACCACAUGAUCCUGCCAUGUUACUCAUAAAUGGUUCAAUGUUUCUAGAUUGUCUAUUCAGCAUCAAUUGUAUAGAUAGCACUGUAAAUUGAUGAAUAAGGAGAAUCAAAAGUUUACUGUUGGAAUUCCUUAAUUAGUGCA
rnacentral:misc_RNA from 1 species